UACAUACAUAGAUACCAGCAAUCAUCGCGGAGAUGAUAACUUACUGCUUUAUUAAUUGUUAUAGGUUGGCGUUGUUGCCAAAGUUGUCAUUAACUCUUUGACGCCGUUUUCGUGGAUUGUUGAUAUUCAAUGUGACAACUUUCUUUACUUAUUUUUAGGUUUAUUUGCUUUUAUCUUUUUAUAUUAGUGAUGACAGGCCAUCUUACAUUAUUUCAGUAUGUUUUUCAGUCAUUUUAGUAGUGAUUUAGGUCAAUAAAGAGUAGUUUUAGAGAAGUUGCUCAUGGUUUAAGGUACAUUUUGUAAUGUUUUUAUAUCAAAUCAUGUAAUUCUAUUUCUUUCCUAAGCAAAUAAAUUUCAUAGAUGUUUUUUAGUAUUCUAUUGAAAAAUUAUGUAAUUUGACAAACCAAGACACCUCGAGAAAAAAUGGAAGACAUGGAAUAAAGAUUCAAGAUGUCUCUAAAGACAUUACAUGUUGAGAAGAAGACAAAGUGAAAUGCAUUGCACAACGGUCCAAAGGAGGAAUUGUUGGGAAGAAAUAAGGAAACAUGUCAUGUGUUAUCUAGCAUAACCUUUACUAAAUCAUGACCGGUGAGAACUAUGGGUCAAAUAUAUAUAAGUUCCACAUUCUACUUUCCU
rnacentral:lncRNA from 1 species